AGAGUUUGAUCCUGGCUCAGAUUGAACGCUGGCGGCAUGCCUUACACAUGCAAGUCGAACGGUAACGCGGGGGCAACCCUGGCGACGAGUGGCGAACGGAUGAGUAAUACAUCGGAACAUAUCCAGUAGCGGGGGAUAACCUAUCGAAAGAUGGACUAAUACCGCAUACGAUCUACGGAUGAAAGCAGGGGACCGCAAGGCCUUGCACUAUUGGAGUGGCCGAUGUCGGAUUAGCUAGUUGGUGGGGUAAAAGCUUACCAAGGCGACGAUCCGUAGCUGGUCUGAGAGGACGAUCAGCCACACUGGAACUGAGACACGGUCCAGACUCCUACGGGAGGCAGCAGUGGGAAUUUUGGACAAUGGGCGCAAGCCUGAUCCAGCCAUGCCGCGUGAGUGAAGAAGGCCUCCGGGUUGUAAAGCUCUUUCGGUGAAGACGAAACGGUUCAUGCUAAUAACGUGAACUAAUGACGGUACUCACAGAAGAAGCACCGGCUAACUACGUGCCAGCAGCCGCGGUAAUACGUAGGGUGCAGGCGUUAAUCGGAAUUACUGGGCGUAAAGCGUGCGCAGGCGGUUUGCUAAGACAGGUGUGAAAUCCCCGGGCUUAACCUGGGAAUUGCGCUUGUAACUGGCAAGCUAGAGUGUGGCAGAGGGGGGUGGAAUUCCACGUGUAGCAGUGAAAUGCGUAGAUAUGUGGAGGAACACCGAUGGCGAAGGCAGCCCCCUGGGUUAACACUGACGCUCAUGCACGAAAGCGUGGGGAGCAAACAGGAUUAGAUACCCUGGUAGUCCACGCCCUAAACUAUGUCAACUAGUUGUCGGGGAAGAAAUUCCUUGGUAACGAAGCUAACGCGUGAAGUUGACCGCCUGGGGAGUACAGCCGCAAGGCUAAAACUCAAAGGAAUUGACGGGGACCCGCACAAGCGGUGGAUUAUGUGGAUUAAUUCGAUGCAACGCGAAAAACCUUACCUACCCUUGACAUGCUAGGAAGCCCGCAGAGAUGUGGGUGUGCCCGAAAGGGAACCUAGACACAGGUGCUGCAUGGCUGUCGUCAGCUCGUGUCGUGAGAUGUUGGGUUAAGUCCCGCAACGAGCGCAACCCUUGCCAUUAGUUGCUACAUUCAGUUGGGCACUCUAAUGGGACCGCCGGUGACAAACCGGAGGAAGGUGGGGAUGACGUCAAGUCCUCAUGGCCCUUAUGGGUAGGGCUUCACACGUAAUACAAUGGUCGGUACAGAGGGCUGCCAACCCGCAAGGGGGAGCUAAUCCCAGAGAGCCGAUCGUAGUCCGGAUUGUAGUCUGCAACUCGACUGCAUGAAGCCGGAAUCGCUAGUAAUCGCGGAUCAGCAUGUCGCGGUGAAUACGUUCCCGGGUCUUGUACACACCGCCCGUCACACCAUGGGAGUGGGUUCCACCAGAAGUAGUUAGCCUAACCGCAAGGAGGGCGAUUACCACGGUGAGAUUCAUGACUGGGGUGAAGUCGUAACAAGGUA
rnacentral:rRNA from 1 species